AAUCACGACCAGUGUUGCGUUUCUCACCGGAUCUAUUUCGUUUGCAGUAGCUGCCUAUAGCAAAAAUUUCACAAUUUCCAUGAUAUGUUUUGUGAUCAUCAAGCUGAUGUUAUCUUUCAAUUAUCUUCUUUUGCAUCUAGUUUGCCUUGGUAUGUCACCCAACCAUACCGGUGCAUUGGCCGGAAUUGCAGCAUUUUGGCACACCCUGAGCGUCAUUUUGGUACCAAAUACGGUGGGAUUCAUAGUGCAAAACCACAGUUUAGCAGAAUGGAGCAUAUGCUUUCUCGUAUCUGCAGCCGUUCUUCUCUUGGGAACAAUUGUCUUCGUGAUCUAUGGUUCCAGCGAACUUCAGCCAUGGUCCACAUCACAUCCUUCGGAUACUGAUAAUAUCGAUGAGAAACUCGACAUUGCACUUGAAAAAUCCAACAACGCAUAAUUCUCCCCCCCCCCCAAAAAAAAAUCGAUAGGAGCAUUGUCAAACUAUUAUACCCUCAUCCCUCCACGUAGAUUGUAGAAGCCGUUGAAAAUAUGUAAAUUUCCAUUGGUCUAUUUUUAAUUUAUAAGCCUAUAAAUUUUUCAGAACUUUUAUCUUUAGAUAAAUAGGGAUUUUUUUCAAGAAAUCUGUUGGUAAUUAUACCAAGUUUGGCGUAUUUUAGCGAU